rnacentral:rRNA from 1 species
GUAGGUGGCAAGCGUUGUCCGGGAAUUAUUGGGGCGUAAAGCGCGCGCAGGCGGUUCUUUAAGUCUGAUGUGAAAGCCCACGGGCUCAACCGUGGAGGGCCAUUGGAAACUGGAGAACUUGAGUACAGAAGAGGAAAGCGGAAUUCCACGUGUAGCGGUGAAAUGCGUAGAGAUGUGGAGGAACACCAGCGGCGAAGGCGGCUUUCUGGUCUGUAACUGACGCUGAGGCGCGAAAGCGUGGGGAGCAAACAGGAUUAGAUACCCUGGUAGUCCACGCCGUAAACGAUGAGUGCUAAGUGUUAGGGGGUUUCCGCCCCUUAGUGCUGCAGCUAACGCAUUAAGCACUCCGCCUGGGGAGUACGGCCGCAAAGGCUG